UACGUAGGGGGCAAGCGUUGUCCGGAAUCAUUGGGCGUAAAGGGUGCGUAGGCGGCGCGGUAAGUCGGGUGUGAAAUCUCGGGGCUUAACUCCGAAACUGCAUUCGAUACUGCCGUGCUUGAGGACUGGAGAGGAGACUGGAAUUUACGGUGUAGCGGUGAAAUGCGUAGAUAUCGUAAGGAAGACCAGUGGCGAAGGCGGGUCUCUGGACAGUUCCUGACGCUGAGGCACGAAGGUCAGGGGAGCAAACGGG
rnacentral:rRNA from 1 species